GUCAAUGUUUUGACUGAUUGUGAGUGUUAUUUUUUUUUUGUGGGUUUUCAUGAAUAUAUUAACACAAUGAGUUGGCCAACAAAAAAAAUUUCCAGCCCUCUUGCACAAGAAAAAAAACAAACAAACUCCAACUUAAAGACUAACGGAGCCCAGUUGUAAUUAAGUAUCAACGGUAAUUGAAUUUACCUUUUUGAGACAAGUUGCUUUGCAUUUCCAUCAAGAAAAAGAGUGUGAGCGAGAGAGAAAGAGAGAGAGAGAGAGGGACGAAAAACUAAUUAGAACUGAACAUCAUUAAUUCACUAAUCCAAGUCGAAAGACCGUGUCCAAUCUCAGUUAGAUGUGCGUUCCUUCUUCGAGAACACUUGUCGCUUGUCGGUCGGUUGUUCGAUUUGGGUCUAUGGUCUCUCAUGGUAGUAUAUAUAUAUAUCGAUUAUAAGCCGAAGGCAAGCUGCGGACAUAAACAUUUGGCCACGCUACUCAUGUUCGAUUCACAGACACCAGCAAGCUCUCUUAAAAAAAUGCAGUCCAACUGGUUACGAAAUAUUUUCAAAAAAGAAAAAUACAAAAACACAGAGAAAAAAGAAAAAAAAAGCAAAGCUCAUUCAUGUUGUUGGCUGGGAGAUACAAUUUUCAAAAUAAAACUAAA